UCCUGCGCACCAACCUGCAGAGGACCCGCCAGAGACUGCGCUCGUACAACAGACACACGCUGAUCGCUGAUCCGUACGAGGACGGCUGGAACGAGAUGCUCCUCAAACGGAAGAAAAUGAAGGAGCUGGAAAAGAAGAUAUCGCAGAUGAACAAUUACCUCACUGUUCCCGCUCCACCCCCUGAUUCACCGACCAUCGCUCGAGCUCGACUGGC